ACAUGACCUUGGAGGUGUCUACGGACAACGCCGGCUCUUCGGCUUAGAAAUGGAGAUGAGCACCCAGAGUCAGACAUGACUGGACUUAACGUCAGGGGAAACCUUUACCUUUUAGAAUAAAUAAAGGGAACAACCUUUAGGAAAUGCUCUUCAUGUCAUCAUCCACAAGAAAGCAGAACUCUGUCAGCACUGGCGUGCUGCGUUUCAUGUUAAACCACAAGAGCUCUUUGUUCUCCUUGAACCAUCCUCCUUUUUUAACUUAGUUCCUCAGCUGCUGCAAACACUAGAAAGUGGAGUGUUAAACUUGUUUCCUCUUACCUCUCAUUCUGCAAACUGACAAGGAAGAAAAAGACUACUUUGAGGAAGAAGAAGAGAAAGGAAGGGAAAAGAUUCAUAACUUCAAGGAUGCCAUUCUCAAUUGUUCUGAUACUUUUCUCAGGGAUCCUUCAGAGCAGAGCUGAUAUUGUGCAAGACUCCUUCAAGACAGCACUAGAUGGAAAACCAGUGGAUCUCUCUUGCACUCAUUCCUCUGCUACAACCGAAACCAUCUUUUGGUACCGACAGUUCCCCAACCAGGGGCCUCAAUACAUAGCAUCCGGAUACAGCGGAGUUGUGAAGAGUACAACGUUAGAUGGAUCCAUUCAUAUUUCCAGUGACCGAAAAUCCAAUAGAUUUGCCUUCACCAAAGUCACUUUGGAGGAUUCUGCAGUGUAUUACUGUGCUCUCAGCGACACAGUGCUACAUCCUGGUCGCUUUGCUGUACAAUAACUGGUCCGUUCUUGUCUUAAAUCAAGAAGGAACAUAGAGGAGAUCUCUGAAAGUGCACUCUUCUUUUUAUUUGCAAGUAAUUGUUCCCAGGUUUCCAAAAUAACAAUGAAAGAAACUUAAAAUUCAUAACAUGCAGAGUUGGAUAUUCGGGAAAGAGCGAAGAGAUUUGCUAUUUCUGUUAAGUGAGUCGUGGACUUCUCUGAAUAUCAACACAUUGUCCAUAUUUAUAAAUUAUAUUAUGCACACAUUUCUUUCUGUAUCAAGGGCAUACUGUAUACCCCAAAAUGCCCUUUUAUAUGUAUGGAAAGUGAAGAAAGUGGAUAGGAAUAAAAUCAACUUCUUUGA